GGAAGAUUGCCCUUUCAUGGCCAACUUCCUGAUCUCCGGAGGGGAGAAAGCCCUGGCAUUACCUACCCCAUUGGCUUCUUUAUCUCAACCACACAAGCAGAGGGAAGGCAGGAAAAAGUGCAAGAUGGAAUCCUGAGAGUAAAAGAGAUCUACUGAAGUUGAAUAAUUCCAAGCCAAGCCUGCAGUCCAUUAGCGGUGGAAGAGGAGAGGAAUCCACCGUUGAGGCAUGUGAGCAGCCCCAAGCAACAGCAGAGUGGGUGAUCUCAAUAUGCCACAAGUUUAAGGACCCAGAAUGGGGUAGGAAUCUGCCCACCACUUUCAUUUGUUCUUCUCCUGAACUCCCUUGCUGAUGUCUAAUUAUUUUUCAUUGAAACUCGGCUUUUGAAGACUUCUGUUGCUUCUGUCAAAAUACAGAUGUACCAUUCAGAUUGAGAUUCCAGCAGCAUUUAUUGAGAAAUGUAGGCCUUUAAUGGUGUUGAUAAAUACUAAAAAUCUAUGAGUGGACAAAAAAUGUCUAUUUUAAGAAAGUUUAUUUCUUCUAUCAUACAA
rnacentral:lncRNA from 12 species